rnacentral:tRNA from 1 species
GCCGAGGUGGUGGAAUGGUAGACACGCAGCCUUGAGGUGGCUGUGGGAGCAAUCCUGUGCGAGUUCAACUCUCGCUCUCGGCA